rnacentral:lncRNA from 1 species
AAGCCAAGCCGGCGGAAGAAGACACCACGGAGGGGGGACCGUUAUCGGGAUCGGCGCUGGCAGAGCCUCUGGGUCGUCAACGGUGCAAACGGGACGAGGGACGACUGACGCUGGAAGAGACGCGAAGAUGACCGGUGGGAAGAGACGCGAAGGUGAUCGGUGGAAAGAGACGCGAAGAUGAUCGGCGGCGCCGCCUCUCGGUGGACCUCUGGUGGCCGUUGAACGGCGAACGACGGUGGAAUCGUGAAGGGG